AGAAGGGAGAAGACGCAGAGCUACUCAGAUCCAGCUGCCCUUUUGUCUUCUCUGUAAAAGAGACAAAUGUGCAGCUGAAAAUUCUGGAAACAGAUCUUUCCUAGGAGAUGACUGAACUCAUAGAUGGGCAGCGAUGUAAAAGGUGCACUGAGAUGAACAUAUUUUAAUUUUCAGGUCUGGGCUCAGAGCAUUUGCUGAUGAGAUCCCACAGUGUUGCUGGUGAUCUUUGGUGGCAUCAAGAUGACUGAGACCAUUAACAGGAGGAUCCAACGGCUCUGGAAGUCCUCCCUGUGUCUUUAAUUGUGCUGUCCUGGCUGCCUCAAUGACCUGACUGGAUUCAAAACAUGUACCUUUCGGGUCAUUUUGAAUUGGGGGAAGAGCCAGAAGUCGCAUGGUGCCAAAUCCGGUGAUUGAACGUACACCAUGGUGUUUUUAUAAGCCUGUCUUUCCUUUGGAUGGCACUGGGCAGCAGGAUUCACGGUAUUUUUAAAAUCACACUUCAUAUCUACACUCAAGAAAAGGACUUCAGGAACUGCAGCAGAAAGUGGUGGGAACAGUGAGACCCUGGUUUCAGUCCAUGGUUAACAGCUCCAAGGUUCAGACAUCUGGGAAGAAGGUCAUGAUGGAGGGAAGCCGCUCACCUCAGUGCAACUAAGAAGCAGAGAGGGUUGGAAGGAGCUAGGGGGAGUGGAAGGGACUAGGGACAAGAAUACCUUUCUACAUUACACAGUCAGUGCCCUGAUUCUACAGUAAGUCAGCUAUGAACUCAUCAGUAAGUUAAACCAGUGAUGAAGCUGACACUCCUGUUCUCCAAGCACUUUGCAAAGCCCCACUUCUGAGAGCAUGUUUAAUCCAAACCAUAACACUUUGUUUCUUAUAUUUAUGGCUUCUAUUUCUUUGAAUAUUGAUGAGUUUUAGAAUUUUCAGAAUAUUAGGAAUUUGUAAUUCUGAAUUGUCCUGUCUUUGAAUUUUCUGUUGAAAUAACUGUUUCUGUUUUACUAGUGUAUGCAGACUCUUUGUGCACUGUAAUCAUUUGUAAAUCCUGCACCAAAUAUUUAUCUUUAGAUUUUGUAAGGUGGUAAGAGUGGUUCUACCUUAUUUCUGAAGUUUAUCUAUAAAUUUUAUUUGUAUAAGAUUUUUGGGCAUUUUCUGACUGCUAUCUUUCUUUACAGGGAGAAAAAGCAUUGCAAUCCUAUUGAUGACUUUAGGAAUACAUAAUGUAUCUCAUGUCUCUGGGCUAUCACAUGCCCCAUUUAUUUUUUUCCCGAAAUUCUAUUUUUAAACUUACCAUAGUUACAUAUUCUUCAGUAAAGUGAUAUUGACGUGAUUACCUGGAUACAUUUUAUAAUAAGAUACCAUUUUCAGUGAUAAAGUGUGCAAGAAAAUGUCUAAGAUAGUUUUGCACAAUAAACUUUGAUUGCUGAUAUAUGUCAUAGUUAAACGUUGCUCAGGUGCAUGAGGAGUGAGAAGCCCGUUGCCUGUGAGCGAGGCAGGGGACUGUAUUUUGGAUUGUGCCACCAGGUGGCCUUUUGCAUGACGCAGAAUGGUCUCCACCAGUCACAAAUUACAUCUGCUGUGCCUCUAUUUGUUAGACAAUCUGGCACCAGGAACAGCUGAGAAGAAAGACUUGAAAACAUCUUGCUUGAUGGAUGUGCCUAGAUUUAUCACUAAGUCCAAAUAAAAUGUUAAAUGCUAUCAAGAUUCACAAAUCAGGCAUGUCUCUCUUUGAGCCAUGACAAGGUCUUGUUAAAGCUUUUGUGACAGCCACGUGUGAGAGAUACAAUUGGAUUGUAUUCAACAGAAUUUAAUGCUGAUUAUAGCAUACAGUUGAUUAGUGUACAUUUUUAAUCUGACUGAGAUAUGAGGUAGACCAGAGGUCUAGCAUUUAUAUCAUGAUGAUGAAAUUUUUUGGAGCUAGGUUUUUCAACCAGGUAAGAGGAAUGUAGUAUUAAUUAAGCAAGAAGAAAGCGAUUGAUAGCAAGGAAUACAUUGUAAGGUCACCUGUAAUUGAUAAGAUCUGUGUAUGGGUAGCAAAGGGCCAAUUAUGGCAGGCAUAAAUAACACAGGGUAGACAAGAAUCAACUACUAGGGCUUUACUUUGGGGCAAUACUCACACUGGGUGUUUAUGGAUCAUGAAAAGAAAUAUUUACACUUUUACAUUUAUAAAACCUCUAAAUGCCAUGGAGCAGUGCAGAUAUAAACAUUUAAGAAAUUCCAUACUUAUUGUAUCACCUGUUACCAUUUAAUACAACUCUGUCUAAUUUAGGCUGAUGAAGAAAUUUCCAGAAUGGCAUGAAGUUCAUAAAGUCAACCAGAAAACGUGAAUAGGAAGCAAAAGUCGGAUUCUAAUGCCAUCUUGUUAUCAGCACCACAACCAUGUACCCUGCUGAUGCAUGGUGGGUUUCGCUAUGCAGUUCAGGCUGGCCUUGAACUCACUUCGUAGCUCAAGAUGACCUUAAUCUCAAAGCGAUCCUCCUGCCUCAGCCUCCUGAGUACUGGGAUUAUAGGCAUGCACCACCAUACCUGGUUGGAUAUGGCACCAUGCUGAUUCCUCCUCUCUCGGGGAACUUUCUUUCCCCUCCUCCCACAAGAAUGGAAGCACCUGGAUUUCCUUCAGUUUCCUUGGCAAUUAUUGCUCAUUGUUCUUUGCGUCGUCACUAACUUGCCCUUCUCCCUUAAUCCAACCUCAAAAGCAGGCAUUACUGAAGCCUCUGUCUUCAUAAACAACAGCAACCUACAGAAAAAUCCCACAUUUAUUUUAAAGUCCACACUCUCUUUCCAAUCUCACCUGCUGACCGACAGUUUGGUGAGGAUGUCAAAUAGACACCUCAAACUUAGCACACAAAUCCAAAAUCAAGAAUAUGAACGUUAACCUCCUUAACCUUUAUUUUGUUAUCCAGCCUUCUGUCUGUUGGUGAAACACACCAGACAGGUUAAGCAAUCCAAAUACCUGGGCAUAAUUUUUUCUUCCUCUUUCAGUCUCACCAAAUCCUAUUGCUGUAACAUUCCAGAGGCGAACGGUUGUCUUUUUAUAACCUAAUCUUGAAAGUGGCCUAUCAGCAUUUCUGUACUAUGUUCCUUAGAAGUGAGUCUUUAAAUCCAGUUUGCACUCCAGGGAAAUGGAUUGCAUGAGAAGGCUCCCCUUUGGGGCCAUUAUAGAGGCUCCUAUGCAUUCAGCCGUUAGGGCAUCCUUGGCAAAGAGUUCUCACUCUUCUGCUGUGCUCCAAGCCUUGCCAAGACCUUGUCUCCUCACAAAGUCAUAUAGCCUGGCAGCUGAGGUUGACAAUGUUUCUUUUGGAUUCCAGGCCCUGGCUCAGAGCCUAACAAUGAUUUGCUGAGCUGAAUUGAAUUGUAUAACUCUCAGCAGCAGUUAGAAUACACAGUGUUGUACGAUAUACAAUGGUGAUGGUUAGGACUAAACUAAGAAGCAGACUCAUUAUAUGGAUGCCUCUUUUGAAGAUACGAUAGUUCAGUAUUUUACUAUUUUUCCACAGUGUUCUAAAAGCACAUCCAACGUUUUCAGAGAUUACCCAGUAGGAGUGUGGAACACUAUGUAUUAUAACAGAAAAGGAGGAAGGAGGCAGGCAGAGAAAAAUAGAGAUGGAUCUUGAUAAGGGCUCAGAUGAUGAUUUCCAGGCUGCUCUGCAUCUUUCCAUAAUACUUUAGAAAAUUCUGGAUGAGGUUAAGGAUAGGAAGGCAAAAGAAGAGAAGUUAGCGAAAUAGGGUUUCAGGGGACUCCUGUGCUGUGUAUCAGUUGUAUUACACAAGGAACUAAGCAAGGGAAUCUCCUAGCACGGCCCUCAGGAUUCCGAACGAUACAGACUAAGGGAAGCAUAAAUAAUAUUCACAUUUUUCCUGUCAUAUACAUGUGAUUUCUUAGCAUUUUUUCCUAGGGAGCUGGGUUAAAAAUAUAAUUUCCUUUUUCUCUACCAAAGGCAUAAACUUUAACUAUGUAGCACUAUGCAACCCCAGGCCUUCUUUGUCCCUGUUGACCCUUCAUCCUCUCCAGACAUUCAUUUCCUAAGCUGUGAAACCCAAUUCUGUGUCACACAACGCAAGUCUAAGAGGAAAGAAAAAAUGUAGCGUGAGACAGCAAGUCAAGAAACAUCCCUUUCAAUGAUUUCACUUCUCUAUCAAAUGGACUCAUCUCCAAGGCCUAAAAUUCUUAUGGAGAAAGGAAGAUAUGGAUUCAUUUACACAGUAUCUAAUUAUAGAGUAGCUAUUUAGGGCAUUAGAGGGUUCUUUAGACAGGGGAAUCAGAGAUAAAGGUACUACAACCAGCCUUCAGUAAUUUUACAUGUGUGUGCAGGUAAGAUCUCCGUUAUAGAGUGUGUUGUGGCCUGAGACAGGGGGCGUAGAGUAGGAGCUCCCAGUGACAGCAGAGAAGGGGACGUCCUACUAGGACUGAAGUCCAAACUGAGACUUCAGGAAAGAGAACGAGGAAGAAUAUUGUGGGGGAGAAGUUAUUGGCUAAACAUAAAAAGAGAGGGACAUCCCAAUAGAAAGCAAAGCUUAGUAAAGUUCAGACAGAGCAUGAUUUCAAGGAACUACAAUUUUAUCUAGAAGGAAAAGUGGGGAAAAGGAAGAUCAAAAAAGAUAGACAAGCAGAGGCUUGCCAAGGGAAGGAAUGCAGAGUUAUCCAACAAAUCAUGGCAAUCGCAAACACUCCAAGCAUAAUGACAUAACCAAAUUUACACAUUACCUGGAGCUUUUUGAUACCGUGGGGAGAAAGGAUUGGCAGGAAAACCCACUAGGAAGUAACCCCUGAUACUGAGGCCAGGUGGGAGAGCAAGUUCAUGCAAAAAGACUUAGUCGAUAUCGUAUAUGUUCAGGCAAACUCAAACAAGAAAUAUGCAGAGAUACUUAUAGGCUUACCAAGACUUUUUUAAAAUUUGACUUUUGACAAUUAUGUUUAGCCAGAACAUGUUAAAACAUUCAUAGUCAAAUGUAUUCAUUCUGGUGUAACUUGUCUGUUUUAUGUUACAUGGUAGCCUUUCCAAACCAUAAGGUUUUAUACACAUUGUAUGAAAUGUUUUAUAUAUUUGUUUUAGUUGAUAACAAUUGCCUAUGUGUGUGUGACACAAUGUGAUAUUUCGAUCUAUGCAUGCAUUGUGGAAAGGUUCAACUGAGCAAGUUAACAUCUUCAUCACCUUAUCAGUAUACCAGUUUUUGUGGUAGAAAGUUGAAAACCUGAUCUCUUUGUAGAUUAAAAAUAGAUGUUAGGAUUUACUGUGGCCAUAUACAAGUACAGCUUAUGGUUAAAAUGUAUUCCUCCUGUCCAGCUGAAAUUUUGCACCCUCUCCUCCUGCCCCUGCCUCUGAUAAGCCAUCUUUCUUCUGUUUCUAUAAUCUUGACUUUUAAAGAUUCCACGUAUAAGCGAGAUCAUACAGUAUUUGAAUUUCUGUUUGUGUCUUAUAUCACUUAGCAUAAUGCCCACUACAUAUAACCAUGUUUCUGUGAAGGGCAAAAUUUCCUCCUUUUUAAGAUUAUAUAGUAUUCCAUUUUCUUUAUCCAUUGAUGGAAACUUAGGUUGCUUCUGUAUCUUGAUUAUUGUGAAUAAUGCUAGAAUUCAUAUGGAAAUGUAGAUAGAUCUUGGGAAUGUCAGUGUCAGUUCCUUUGGAUGUGUGCCCAGAAGUGGUUUGUACUUUUAGUUUUUUUGAGGAAAAUGUCUAAAAUUUACAUUAUUACCAACACUAUUUAAUAGUUUCCCUUUCUUUACAUCCUCAUCAAUAUUUGUUAACCUUAGUCUUUUUGGUAAUAGCCUUUUGAAUAGUAGUAAUAUCUGACUGUAGUUGUAAUCUGUAUUUCCCUGGAGGGAGGCGUUAAACACUAUUGGGGGGGGGAGACUAGGGAUCAACCUCACACACUUUUCUUAUAGAAGCUGAAAUUUUAUCUUUUUUUUUGUAAGAUGUUUCUUCAGAAUAUUUGUUCCUUUUAUAAUUGGUUUUCUUCUUGCUGUAUUGAGUUGUCUGAGUUCCUUAUAUAUUUUGGAUAUUAGCCUUUUAUCAAAUAUAUUGCUCGCAAAUAUUCUCUCCCACUGUCUAGCUUGUCUCUUUACUCUAUGAUGUUCAGAAACUGUUUAGUUUGAUGUAAUUUUAUGUUUAUUUUUCUUGCACUUUUUGUGAUUUUGGAGUGCUAUCCAAGAACUCACUGUCCCAAUCUUUUUCUUGUCUUUUUAAGACAGGGCUUCACUGUGUAGUUCGGGUAGGCUUUUGACUCAGUUUUUAUCCUAGGCUGGUCUCAGAUUUGCAGAGAUCAUCUUGCCUCAGCCUUCAUGGUGCUGGAAUUAUAGGCUUGCACUACCACACCUGGCUUGUCUAGUAAUUUUAGAAUUUCAAGUCUUACGGUUGAUUCCCUUAUCAAUUUUGAGUUAAUUUUUUGUAUAUGGUACGAGAUGAGGGUCCAUUUACAUUCUUCUGCAUGUGAAUAUGUGGUUUUUUCACCAGCCCUGUUCUUUUCUCAUUGUGUUUCUUGGCACCUUUGCUUCCGAUGCAUUAUUUGAUCUCUGUGAAUUUAGUUUCUUGUUUCUUUCUUUACUGCUCUCUGACACUUCACUUUAUCAGGAUCAUAAGUGCUCGUACAUUGUUAACUCAGUGAAAACUUUUCUGCUCCCUAUUUGACCACUCAGCAGUAUUCUCCAUACUCCUGCGAUGGCCGGCUCCUUCUGGACUUCUCCUAACUAUUAUAACCUAUGUUAUUUUUUUCCUCUCACUAGCUCCUCUUUUUCAGUCUUUUCUUCUAGUCCAUAGUUUUUUAUUGACUCUUAAAAAUUAGGAUGUACUUUGGCUCAGUUCUAGGCCCUCUGUUUUAACCCUCUCCACUCAGGUUAUAUCACACACUUUCACAGUGUCAGUUGCAGUCUAAAUUCCCAUGACUUUUCAUUUCUUUUAAAACAAAGUUCUUAUGGAAAUGCAGGAGAUGGUAAAUGGUGUCCUUUCCCUGACUGUAAUUUAAACCUCUAGUUCUGUACUCAGAAGCACUAACAUCCCUUCCUUUCUGUCGCAUCACGGCAUUCCUUCGUGUUCCUGGGAACUUGGGCACUUUUCUCCUGCCAUGUGUUCAAGUGUACUACAAAUCCUCCUUUAACUUGGUUGUCUGACCCUUACUUAUUCUGUAGGACAAGCCACUUCAUCAGAGAAGCACUUGAAUACUCAGAUUAGGUCAGGUUCAUUUUUUAUAUAAGUUCAUAGUACUAUAUAUUUCUCCAGAGAAUCAAUUAGUUAAUUAUUUGUGGAAUUAACAUUUAUUUCCUUACUGGUCAGUAAGACCCAUAGAUUUAUACUAUUUGUUGCCCAGCAUAUCGUAAAUAUCCAAUAUCAUGAACUCUUUCUCUAAACAAACAUUUUUAAAGAGCCCCCUUAAAAUCUAAUGGUAUAAUCUACACAAAACAUAGAUAUACUGUAGUCUCUCCCCUAAUAUUCCUUAAGGUACUCCAUCCCAUUGUCCUUCCCGCCUCACUAUUUCUAGCUUGCUGAGCUUUCGUUAUAUGUGGGUAGUGCAUUUUGUCGAGUUCUUUUUCUGCAUCUGUUGGUAUGAUCAUGUAAUUUUUCUUUAGCCUGCUAAUGUAAUAGAUUAUAUUAAUUGAUUUUAUAAUGUUGAAUUAGCUUUGCCUAU